rnacentral:rRNA from 1 species
AGAUUGAACGCUGGCGGCAUGCCUUACACAUGCAAGUCGAACGGCAGCACGGGAGCAAUCCUGGUGGCGAGUGGCGAACGGGUGAGUAAUAUAUCGGAACGUGCCCAGUCGUGGGGGAUAACGCAGCGAAAGCUGUGCUAAUACCGCAUACGAUCUAUGGAUGAAAGCGGGGGAUCGCAAGACCUCGCGCGAUUGGAGCGGCCGAUAUCAGAUUAGCUAGUUGGUGGGGUAAAAGCCUACCAAGGCGACGAUCUGUAGCUGGUCUGAGAGGACGACCAGCCACACUGGAACUGAGACACGGUCCAGACUCCUACGGGAGCAGCAGU